CAAACAUUUUCCUGAUCCAAAUACAAGCUGUAUUUUGUCAGUAAGAGACAUCUAGAAAUUCGAGCACACAGACCGUAAGCACUCUAUGCCAUUUUCUCUUAUGCAAGCAGCAUAAAUUAUUUAACCUCUAAUAACAUUAAGAUUUCAUGAUGCUCAUGUAAGAUGAAAAAGUGAAAACUUUUAGAUACUAAAUGCUUUAUUAUGAUAUGUAAUCUUGUAAGGAUGACUGAUUGAUUUAAUGUGCAAAUCUGGAGUGUGUGGAAAAAUACAGAGACAAUAUAUUUAGGGCUAUAUUCUGUCAACUACUGAGCAGUGGUCUCAGUCCUGAUAAAGCCUUAUCUUUGAGCAUGUGAGGAGUUGCACUGAUUUUAAUGGGACUUUUAACAUGCUUUUAAACGCCUUGACAAAUAAGGAUCUCAAUUUCCUCUACCUUGCAAAACUAAGCUAAAUUGCAGGUUUAUUAAUACUUAAUACCUGCCUGCUAGAUACACAUCACAAUGACAAGUGUGGAUUACAGCAAAGCUAUUAAGAAACAAGCCUAAAUCUCUGAGGUUCAGCCAGAAGAUAAAGAACAGGGUUGCAAUGGGUGAUAUUCCUUAUCACACAGCUUCUCUCAUAAGGCAGGAAUGACUUUUCUCCAGCCACUACCACUCAUGACUCAAAAUGAUGAGGCUGCCAGCCACAAGGUGCCAGUAACCUGGCAAGAAAGGCGAGUGCUUUAGUUACCCCAUGUUUAAGCCAAACAGCAAGGAAGGUUAUGGUGGGUUUGUUUGUUUGUUUCUGAAAUGGUAUGGUACACAUGGGGCUUUAAAGGUUGCUGAACUUUAGAAAGGAAAAAAAAUCCCACGUGACACUGAGAUGUCGUUCAGAAAGCCAAAUCUAUGGAGAUAUAUCUAGUAAAAUUCUAAGAUCUACAAGUUACAAAGGAUAUCAGGGAUGGAAAUAAUAUAUUCUUCAAAUCAGGUGGGACCCUUAAUCCAAAUUAGCCCCAAGGUGCUUUACAAACAACAUAAAAUAUGAAACACUUCAUGAGCUAUUGAAAUGCAGCCAGUUCUGGGGUGAAAUGUAGAAUGGCUUAAUAGUUCCCAGCAAACAAAAAAAAAAAAACCACAACAACAGGAGCUAAAGAAUGCUAUAUGCAACUGAAACUACAGGGGGAAUUAGGAGGUAGGAAGAAUGUAAUUAUCCGUGUUGGAUUCUAGCCAGAGCUAAAAGUAAUCAGAAAGUCAGUGAAAGACCCAAACAAAUUGAUCUCAUUAUUCUUCCAUUACUCUGAUCUGCUUCUAAAUGGAAAACUCCUUCCUGAGUCUGCUGGACUGACACUUGGUGAGCAUGUGUAGGUGUGUUCAAAAAUAACAUUUCAACAUGAGUUAAAAAUAUAGGAAGCUGUUGGCAUCCCUGUGCAGAGUGCCAGCCUGGAUCUUGCCUCUCAUUCAAGACUCAUUAAGAUACAUUGGGAUUUAAUUCUCUCUUCAGGUCAGCAGGAUUUUGGUUUCAGUGGAGCUAUGUCUUCUGAGAUUUGGUAGUGAAAUGAGACUAAUUAUAUGCAAAACAAAGUUGCAUCAGAAUGUACUAAUGAAACUGUCUGGGCUCCUUCAUUACGUUUCCCCCUAUUCCAAAGUUCAGCCUGGGGCAGCUCUCCUUUUCCUCAGCUGAACUGGCAGCAAAUCUGCUCAAGAUGGAGCUUUUUCAUGAUGACACAAGGGGAGCUUUUUUACAUACAAAAAAGGAUAAAAUGGGACGACCCACAGCAACGGGCCAGCCAACCAGCCUCAAUUUUUCAGUUCCACCUUACAGAAAAGCACAACUGGGGAGGAAAGGUCACAGAGACAGGCUGGUGUCAGUCACACAGCACAGCCUGCGAGGGACGGAACCCGUUAUAAACUCAAAGAUCAUUAAAGAAAUAAAUAGGCAGGGGGCAGGGGAACAGCUCAUACACACCUAGAAGCUCAAAAAUAUCAAUGGAAACUGUAGAUUCCUAAAGAGAUGAUAAAUGGCAGAAGAUCAUGACAUGGGUGUUCGCUGAUAAUUUCUGACCAGCACAACAAAGACAAAACUCCUCGUUUUUUCCUCUCCCCCACUAUAUUUUUCUUCCCUUUCUAAUCUCGGUGUCCUCCUGGGUGGGUUGUGCAGCCCUCCCUGCUCCACGGGCAGCCGCAUUAAGUGCAGAGAAUAAAACCAGCUCACUACCAGUGACAGGAAUUACCUCCCCUGCGCCUCACUUUCCCACCACAGGAACUCUCCUGAGAGCAUGCGAGUUUUUUCCUAUUUAAGGGAGCAAACACUCCACCUAUAAACCCAUCAUUAUCAAAGAGAGACUAGCUUUGCUUAUUUGUGUUAAUUACCAGAGCUCCUGACAAAAGAAUAUUUCUUCCCCUCAAAAGCAUUUGCUUUCAUGUUUGGAGAAAGAAAAUAAAGAGAGAAAUUACAAGCGCGUAUUAAUAUGUAAAGGUAAUUGCUUCAUGCAGCGCAGGGUGAAGAGACAACGCUCAGACCUUUCAUUGAAGCUGCAAUCACUGGCAAAUGGUAAUACAUGCUCAAAGCUAAUAGAUUAAAAACAUUUGUAUAGAAUGCCACCAGAGAUUAUAGCACUUCUACAGAUAGAUAUUUUCCCCUCAAAGGAAAAACAAACUUAUCAACCUAUCAGUAUAGUUUUAUCUAAAGCCCAAACCAAAACAUUAGCUAGAAAUUGUUUAUUGUAAGUUUGGAAAAUCCACUUAGCACAUGACAGCUUCUUAGUUUAGUGAUGUCCCCCCUGGAAUGUGGUUAUAUGCAGCAGUAGAAACAUCUUAUGGCCUCCAGUUAAGUUGAGCAUUUUUCCUAAGAGCUCUGUCUAAUCCUCUGCUCGUAUUUAGAUGUACAAUCUUGUCAUUUGACUCACCUCUUACUUAUGAUUAGACAGCAUUUUAACUAUGUACCUAUUUUAUACAUUUUUAAAAAAGCUAAAAGGGGGGGUGUGCAUAUUUAUCUGCACACAUAUCUGUAUAUGAGUAUACAUAUGGACACCCUAUGUAGAUGAAGGUACAAAGCUAAAAUAAUUUGACAGCCAUAAGGAAGAAGUGAGUGUAACGGCAAGAUUGUAGAGUAAAUCACAGAUCAAAUGCCCAUCAUCAGAAUAUUAUGGAAGUCUGCCCUUUAUUUUGCAAUAUCAAACCAACAAACCCCACACAUAUAUUCAGUAAUACCAAUAUUUCCCAUUUCACUGGCACUACAGAGAAAAUAUUUCUCCCAGCUACCUACAAUAUAUCUCUAUAAAUAUCCCUUCUUAAUGUGUUUUAGAACUUUUAUGUAAACUUUUCAAAAAUCAAAGUACUUUGAAGAAAACAAGGCCACACUAAAAUGACCCUGCUUGGGCUGAAAUACAAUUCAAGAGUUCUCCUGGGAGGGAGGGGGUCUGGGCUGAAGGGGGCAUGAAAACCAGACUACAAAUAGACUUGAAGUUUAUGCUUUAAAAGCUUAAGAAGUAAACCAAAUACAGCAGAAGUAAACUAAAUGUAGCUCUGUGCUCAUCUUAAAAUUCCUAGAAGAAUCAAAUUGACAGCAAGAUGACAGAUUUUGCUCACAGUCGUUAUUAUUUAGAUAACAGUGAAGACAUGAUGGGCAUUUUGAAACCAAUAUGAUUUACUACUUUGGCAAUAUGGUACUUGCCAGACCUAAACUCCGGCAAGUCAGAGUUACUGAGAAUAUGGUUACUGAACAGCCUGCACUAAAGUCAGCAAUUGAAAUAGACUUUCCUGUCCUGUGUACAACUUUCUUCACAAAUGGCCUCUUUUAAGAUCUAGGGUGAAAAUUCUGAAAUCCAGAUAAAUAUCAAGAAUUAAUUUCCAUUUCAAGAACUGUUAUUCCUUUCAAGAAGAUUUCCCAGGGUAUUCAGAGCAAAGGAGAAUCUAAUCUGAAACCUCAGCCUGGUUCUUUUUGUCAUCUCCAGACCUCAGCUCACAUUUACCAGCUCUAACAAGAACAUACUAGUUCCUGUCAUGAUUUCUCUUCAGAAAUGAAUCCUUAUGAUUCGCAUUUUCCAGCUCCCACCAGGAUAUCUCUAGAGAAGCCAAAAUCCUGGAAUUGUCAUAUCUGCCAAGUAGAUGGUGCUUUGAGACCAUUAAGGUACUAGCGUAAACUCCAUCACAAUAUACGAACCUUCAGUUUGUUUGUGACCGCUGGUUGUUUGCUGUGCCAAACAGUCAAAAUUAAAAUUGAACAAAGCAGAGCAAUGUGGUGCAUUGUUUCAUUUAUUUUCCCUAACUAAGCACACUGGCAAUACAAUUUAAAUACAAAGUUCAUGCAAGUAGCACCCAAGGGAUUUCUGCACAGAUACAUGAUAGUAGAAGAAAAUCCUGUCAUGCUCUGGAACACAAUAAUUAUUAUCUUUCUGCCAUAAAGAGCAGAGUAGGAAGUUCUUCACCCAACAAGUCUGCUACUAAGUGGUUUUGACGUUACAGAUAACAAUUACUAUAAUGCUUGUCAGCAGACACUGCCUGACACCUUUGCUACAGAAACUCCUUCCGAAUAAAACAUUGCAGGAAGGAUCUGCCAGUCAAAAACCAGAAGCAGGUCAUGAUUAUUCCUUGUAAGGUGGUCAAAUAAACAUGCAAGGGGAAAAAAAUGAAUGAAUAAACAAAGGAAUGAAAGCAUUCUGUCAUGUUAUCAAAUAUUUACUUUCAAAUGAUGGGGGUUGGUUUGUUUUGGUUUUUGCCCAAAUAUUUCUCUUUGUCCAUAAUUUCUGAAAGGCUUGUUUUUCUGAGGCUAUGGAAGCCAGUUUUCUUCAUCAGGAAUAGCAUUAACAGUGUCCUGGGCAGGCAAACCAGGUGUGACGGUGCUGGUUGUGUACAGAAGUCCUGCCACUGUCUGAAAACACAUGAUGUCUCUACAAUGACAUGUUAUUUUCUUUAACUUGGCUGGCUCAAGAGGAUUAAUAUACCAUACGAAAAACUGCAUAUGAUUUAAUCACUCCUUCCUUUGAAAGUAAGUUGCAAGUAAGCCUAAAAGUAUCUUUUAGACACAUUUCUAAAUAAAAUAUCUGCAUCUAAAACUUAGGUCCUUGC